UGGGGAAUAUUGCACAAUGGGGGAAACCCUGAUGCAGCGACGCCGCGUGAGUGAAGAAGUAUUUCGGUAUGUAAAGCUCUAUCAGCAGGGAAGAAAAUGACGGUACCUGACUAANAAGCCCCGGCUAACUACGUG
rnacentral:rRNA from 1 species